rnacentral:rRNA from 1 species
CAAUAGCAUAUAUUAACGUUGUUGCAGUUGAAAAGCUCGUAGUUGAACUUUUGGUAGGAGCGACCUGGCCUUGGGCGCAUGCCCUUGUUUGCCGUGUGUCGUAUCUGACCAUCCUUUUCUUCUUUUUGGAAGGAAUCUUUUACUGUGAGUAAACUGGAGUGCUCAAAACAAGACGUUUGUUUGGUACAUUAAAGCAUGGAAUAAUAAGAUAGGACCUGGUUACUAUUUUGUUGGUUUGCAUAGCUAGGUAAUGAUUAACAGGGACAGUUGGGGGUAUUCGUAUUUAAUUGUCAGAGGUGAAAUUCUUGGAUUUAUGGAAGACGAACGACUGCGAAAGCAUUUACCAAGGAUGUUUUCAUUAA